rnacentral:misc_RNA from 1 species
CUUAGGUAUCUUAAUGAAGCUGUCAAAUAAUAUUUAUGCCUAUUGUGAAAAUUUAGCUUUAAAUUAUCGCAAUUUAAUAGUGUGUUAAGUUAAGCUCUUUCAUAAGAAUAUUUUAAAGGUUUGAUAUAACAGUUGUUAAUUUGACACUGUAAAUACGGAUAAGUAGCAAUGCCUGAUGUAUUUCACACCCAGAAACACGAUACAGAGAAUCAUCAUUGUACCUUACCUGGUGAACCAUGGAAUUUAUUAGCAAAAUUUAUUGAGACCGGCAUUUUUGUGGAACUUAGAAGAAAAUUAAAAAGAUGGUUAAUGAUCAGUAAAAGCCAUCCAUACACACGGGUAUACGCUCCUUCCAUAAGUAGACUGAAAAGUGAGGUGCAACGGCAUCUUAUUGAUCAUUAUGGAAUUAUUCACCCAUUGAGCAUAUUUUCUUUAUAUUUUAACUUCUUGGUGUGCUUUUCAUUCAUCGUUCAGUAUAUAACUGCACCAAUUUCGUAUGCUGUUCACAAAGAUCUAAAACAUUUAAGCUACUUUUUACUUCCUAUUAAUAUUUUAAUAUUUUUUUUUAUUAUUGUUAAUUUUUUCACUGGAGUCUACAGUGUAAAUGAUAACGUGGUUAUUAUGAAGCCAAAGCAAAUUGCUAAAAGCUAUGCAAAAUCGUACUUAAUACUAGAUAUAUUGGGGUAUGGUCCGCUUGUGUUAAGGAUGUUAAAAGUACGUGGAAUGAUAUCUAAAAAGACCGUUCAUCAUUUGGCUCCAAUUAUGGUUUUACUUAGAUAUUUUAGAUAUAUUUGGUGCCUAAAAGUACUUUCGAUUGCCCGCUUAUACUUCGGCUUCUCAAAUUUUAAAUUUUAUUUUUUGAAGUUGACCCUCAAUUUGGUAGUUAUAAAUGUGCUUGCUAUUUAUAUGUUAUAUACUUGCUUGCCUCAUAGCAGCAGCAACUUCAGUGUAGGCUCAUUUUUGAAACAUGCUGAUGCAACAAUGCAAGUGAUAAUGAUGGUUAAUCAUGGAUGGUAUAUUGAAAAGGCCGGGCGCACUUUCGGACCUUUAUUGUCCGUUUUAUUUAUUAUUGGAGGAUUUUGUUUUCAUUUAGUCGUAUUAGUUGAGGUCAUGAGCAUCUGGUUUAGAUAUUCUAGCGCUGAGAAUAGACAAGCUAGGGUGUUCGAUUCUGUUAUGGCCUAUGUCUCAUAUAGAGGGAUACCCACUGUUAUAAAAAAGAAAGUUGAUAUUUAUUUGAAGUUUAAAUAUAAGGGAACAUUUUAUAAGGAGUCAGCUGUGAUAAAAUCAACAUCAAACUUUUUAAGAGAAGAAAUAUUAUUGGCAUCUACAAAAAACAUUCUUGAAAAGGUGGAUCUAUUUAGGAACAUCCCUUUUGAUUUAAAAUUAAAGUUAAGAACUUCUAUGACUACCGAAAUUUUCUUAACAGAUGAUGUUAUCUUUAGAGCUAAAAGUAUAGGUACAACAAUGUAUUUUAUUAUAUCAGGAUCUGUCUUGGUAACAUCACCAUUUAACGAAGAAAUUUGCUACUUAAAAGAUGGAUGUCAUUUUGGAGUAUCUGCUUUACUUCUUAAAAUGUCUCGAGGUCCACUUUAAUACAUGUAUUCAUUUAUUAUGACUGCUGGAGGAGCUCUACCGGAGGUUUCGCGGAGCACACUUUGAGUAACGCUGUAGUGUAGAUUAUUGAAAAGUUUUCAAGUUAUCUCAAGUUGUAUAUUACAGUCGUAAUUGGACCACCUGGAUUAAUGGUAAUAUCAAAUAAUUAUGAAACGAAACCUUAACCUUCCGGAGCUCGCGCUAAGUAUUUUGGAGUCCGCAGCCUUCAAAUGUGCAUAUUUCUAAAAAUUAUUGGCAAUAAAAGUUAAUUUUUAUUUA